UUCCAGACUCCUACGGGAGGCAGCAGUGGGGGAUAUUGCACAAUGGGGGGAACCCUGAUGCAGCGACGCCGCGUGGGUGAAGGAGUGCUUCGGCAUGUAAAGCCCUAUCGGCAGGGAAGAAGCAAGACGGUACCUGACUAAGAAGCCCCGGCUAACUACGUGCCAGCAGCCGCGGUAAUACGUAGGGGGCGAGCGUUAUCCGGAUUUACUGGGUGUAAAGGGCGUGUAGGCGGGAAAGCAAGUCAGAUGUGAAAACCAUGGGCUCAGCCUGUGGCCUGCAUUUGAAACUGUUUUUCUUGAGUACUGGAGAGGCAGACGGAAUUCCUAGUGUAGCGGUGAAAUGCGUAGAUAUUAGGAGGAACACCAGUGGCGAAGGCGGUCUGCUGGACAGCAACUGACGCUGAGGCGCGAAAGCGUGGGGAGCAAACAGGAUUAGAUACCCCAGUACCG
rnacentral:rRNA from 1 species